AGCCACAUCUAAUUUAACUAAAAAGAAAAUUAAAAGUCAUAUAUUUAUGAUAUUAAUUGUAAUUUCUGGCUGCACGCUAAGUUCCUUUGCGUGCACUAGCGAAUACCAGAAUUAAAAAACAAAAUUUUAAUUGUUUUCAAAACAAUCUCGAGCGGUCGGAAGUUUUUAUUUUACUUUUUCUAGAUUUUUUGUUACUUUGUGAGUGAAUUUAACGUUAAAUAAAAAUUAUGAGAUUUAACGAGCGUUCUUCUCAUCCGACAUUGGUGCAAAUAGAGGCAUUGAUAGACGUUUUGGAUUAAAAGCUAGCGAAACAAAAGGUUUAAUCGUAUCUCAACAUGUUCAAUAAGAGAACAAGGAUAUUAAAAAAAUAUAGGAACUAAAUUCUCUUGUCAGAUAUGAUCCAUUCCCGGAACUACAACAGAUUGAAAAUACUAAUCCACAUCAUCAGAAUAUUGUAAGGAGAAUUUAUUGCCAACUUGGAAAAUGUAUCAGUAUUGGAACAAUCCCAAACAUACAGCAUUGCAUCAAGAAUCACCUAUUUUGCAGUCAUCCUCCCCUAACUAAAUGCAAGUGACUUCUACUUAUUGUGAUGCUACUACUAGUAGCUCCAGCCACAGUAGGUCUCAUGUUAGUCAAGAGAUUGGGUUGUUAGCACCUCAACACCUGACCUGCUAUUUCACCACUUUUCAAUGAAAAGCAGAGUGUACUCAAAUUACAACAAAUUACACAGUACCAGGAUAUAUAACUUAAACAACCAUGGGGGAAUAAAUAGUCGACAGUCUGCAAGAAGGAUGAACUGUUGGUGGAAUUAGCAUAUGCAGCUAGGAAUUUUAAACCUGUAUUUCCACAUAUUACUGAUGCAAACAAAUUUCAAAAUUAUUGUAUAUAACUAUUGAAUAAAACUAUAAUAAAACUAUUUUUAUAAA
rnacentral:lncRNA from 1 species